GGCCCAGUGGCAUUGCUCACAGUGUGCUGAGCACGGAUGUGAGAUUCAGCUGCUAAGUGCGACCUGUCCCUUUAAGGAUACAGAUGGUGUCCCAGACCUGCAGAGUUUCUCCAGCAGUCUCUGUGCUUGUGUCUGAGAUGUAAGGCCAACAUUGAGAGUGACCACCAUCGUUUGCCCUGUCCAUGUAUGAUUGCUGAUCGGGAGAUGAUGUUCUUUCAAAGAAUUCCUCAGGAACACCAUCAUCUCCGAGUCAGACACUCUCCUGGCUCAGACAAUUAUCUCCAUAUCCUCAUCAUGAGUCAAUAUCUUUGAAUCUCUGAUGGAACACCACGUUGGAGCAGCAUCACCUCAAGGACUACAGCGGUU